CGAAGAAGAAGACACGACGGAAGUGCAAUGGAAAACAUGGCGGCGUCCUCUGUUGACACAUUUAGGGCAGUUCGAUUACAGUCCCAGCCACUUUCCCAGUGUCCGCACUGACACUUUGGACACAUCGCCGAAGCCACAGCUGGUGUUGUAUGAAGUGUGUGGCAAGACAAGUCUCUAAACAUGUUGACCCACUUCCAGCGCUGCUGCCUGCGCUGUUGUAUAACGCUGCAGCCAGUGUUGAGGAGGCGGCCUGGCUGUAGAUUCAUGUCAUCAUCGGGACCCCCGUGGAGGCUCCUGUUCUUUGGCUCUGAUCAGUUCGCUGUGGAAUCUCUAAAACUCCUCACAUCCAGCAGGAUUUCCAGUGAAAGGAUAGUGGAGUCCCUUGAAGUUGUUACUUUGUCUGGUAACGUCCCAGUGAAGAGGUUUGCUCAACAGAACCACCUUCCAGUCCACAGCUGGCCCCCUGACAAUGUGGACGGACAGUUUGAUGUUGGGGUGGUGGUCUCUUUUGGCUGUUUACUCCAUGAGAGUCUGAUCAACAAGUUUCCAUACGGAAUUUUGAAUGUUCACCCCAGCCUGCUGCCUAGGUGGCGAGGACCAGCACCCAUCUUCCACACCAUCAUGCAUGGUGACACUGUGACAGGGGUCACAAUCAUCCAGAUCCGCCCUCAUAGGUUUGACGUGGGUCCCAUUCUCCACCAGGAGCUUCAUCAGGUCCCUGAGAACUGUACUGCUGAGGAGCUUGGAGCUUCUCUAGCCACGAAGGGAGCACAUCUGCUGAUUGAUACGCUCAUGACACUGCCUGAGAGACUGGCACAUAAAAGGGAGCAAAAACAGACAGGUGCAACUUUUGCCCCGAAAAUCAAUGCAUCCAUGAGCUGGAUAGUGUGGGAGGAACAGACUUGUGACCAAAUUGAUCGUCUGUAUCGUGCCAUCGGAUCUCGGAUACCUUUGAAGACCACAUGGAUGGGCAGGACAAUAAAACUUCUGGAUUUUGUAGGAAAAUGUCACAUUUCAUUAUUAGAUCAAAGACGGAAACUGGUCCCUGGCACAUUGAGCUAUCAGAAGGAGUCCAACACUCUGGCUGUCUGCUGUAAGGUCUGUUAAACUUUGUUAGCUGUAUUUAGUUUACUACUGAUAAUGACUUAAACCUGCACACCUGUCCCUCUUUACUCCAGCCCCAACACCAUGUGAAGCAUGAAAUCAUAUAAAUUCAUUUGAAUUUUUGUUUUUUUACAUGAUGUGUAAAUGUCCUGAACAGCAGAAUAAUUCAGAUGUGAUAACUUGUGCAAAUGUCCCACAUAUCACUCAAAAUAAUUUCACAGUAAAGCCUUUUUGACAAGCAUGUUCAUACUUUAAUAUAUUAAAGCAGGGGUGUCCAAAAUUUUAAUCCCAGGGGCCAGAUGGAGAAAAACACAUUUCCCUUUUUUUUACUCAUAUUUUAUUGAUUUUUAGUAUAAACAAUAAAGAACACAGCGCAGCGUCAGUGGGGUACAUGUUCUUAGUAUUAAUACUCAAAUGUCUCUGACAUCAAAGUUUUUGGUGGUGACUCUGUAUUGUGAUUGGUAUUCUGUCAAUUUUUCGCAUUUCUUAUCAUAUUUUGCUUGCUGGAGUCUCAAUAUAUACGUCAGUCUUUCCAUGUUGAGUAUCUCCUCGACUACGUCCAGCCAGUUCCUCAGAGUGGGAGGGUCCUCUCUACACUAUUUUCUGGUGAUUGCCUUCUUGGCUGCAGCCAGCAGAAUUUUAACCAGUAUACUCAGGAUCACACCAAUACACCAAAGGUCGGAUCUGUGCAGCAUAGUAAUAUUCUAAGUGGUUUGGAUGGCUGGGUGGGAUUCAAGGCAGUGCUGCUGAAAAAAAGGCUGACAGCGGCUGAUUUCUUUAAUGGCUACCUGCAUCAGACAAUGCAGAAGAAGACACCCUAUCAGACAG